GGCGGCUUANCAUGCAGUCGAGCGGAGAGAGGUAGCUUGCUACNGAUCUUAGCGGCUGAGGUGAGUAAUGCUUAGGAAUCUGCCUAUUAGUGGGGGACAACAUUUCGAAAGGAAUGCUAAUACCGCAUACGUCCUACGGGAGAAAGCAGGGGAUCUUCGGACCUUGCGCUAAUAGAUGAGCCUAAGUCGGAUUAGCUAGUUGGUGGGGUAAAGGCCUACCAAGGCGACGAUCUGUAGCGGGUCUGAGAGGAUGAUCCGCCACACUGGGACUGAGACACGGCCCAGACUCCUACGGGAGGCAGCAGUGGGGAAUAUUGGACAAUGGGCGCAAGCCUGAUCCAGCCAUGCCGCGUGUGUGAAGAAGGCCUUAUGGUUGUAAAGCACUUUAAGCGAGGAGGAGGCUACUUUAGUUAAUACCUAGAGAUAGUGGACGUUACUCGCAGAAUAAGCACCGGCUAACUCUGUGCCAGCAGCCGCGGUAAUACAGAGGGUGCAAGCGUUAAUCGGAUUUACUGGGCGUAAAGCGCGCGUAGGCGGCUAAUUAAGUCAAAUGUGAAAUCCCCGAGCUUAACUUGGGAAUUGCAUUCGAUACUGGUUAGCUAGAGUGUGGGAGAGGAUGGUAGAAUUCCAGGUGUAGCGGUGAAAUGCGUAGAGAUCUGGAGGAAUACCGAUGGCGAAGGCAGCCAUCUGGCCUAACACUGACGCUGAGGUGCGAAAGCAUGGGGAGCAAACAGGAUUAGAUACCCUGGUAGUCCAUGCCGUAAACGAUGUCUACUAGCCGUUGGGGCCUUUGAGGCUUUAGUGGCGCAGCUAACGCGAUAAGUAGACCGCCUGGGGAGUACGGUCGCAAGACUAAAACUCAAAUGAAUUGACGGGGGCCCGCACAAGCGGUGGAGCAUGUGGUUUAAUUCGAUGCAACGCGAAGAACCUUACCUGGCCUUGACAUAGUAAGAACUUUCCAGAGAUGGAUUGGUGCCUUCGGGAACUUACAUACAGGUGCUGCAUGGCUGUCGUCAGCUCGUGUCGUGAGAUGUUGGGUUAAGUCCCGCAACGAGCGCAACCCUUUUCCUUAUUUGCCAGCGAGUAAUGUCGGGAACUUUAAGGAUACUGCCAGUGAACAAACUGGAGGAAGGCGGGGACGACGUCAAGUCAUCAU
rnacentral:rRNA from 1 species